GAAAACCGGGGAGCCAGAAUUUACCCAGGGUCUGGAUAACUUCUUCGGGAGGCUGAUCAGCAAAGCCGCCAGGGGGCGCAAAGCCUGGCCCAGAUGAAAGCACGCUUGUUUACAUUCAGCAUCCCCACGAGUGUCCUGACCGUAGCCCCGGUGUGCUCCCUCCCUCCCGAACAGGGCAUACCUCCACGAUCUCGCAGGUUCCACUCCAGACCACCAUCAUAAAGCCACUGUGGCAAUAAAGUGAGUCACAGUCUUUUUGCUGGUGGAGGGGCUUGCCUUUAGUUUGUAAAAAACACAACACCUGUGAAGCGCAAUAAAGCACGGGUAUGCCUGUACUACAUU